rnacentral:lncRNA from 1 species
UCUCCGACCCCGACGGGCAGCCUAGUACCCGCAAGCGGCUUUCUUCCAACGGACGCCCCCAGAGGAUCCACACACAUCUAGGGCAGGAGCGAGAACACAACAGAGGAGCGACGGUGGAAACAGGAGACUGGUGUCCUGGGACCACACUUUGGAAAAGACAGAUGGAUGGAUGAUAGAAUGCACGCAUCAAUGGAUCACUACAGAAGUCUAGAAGCCAGGAAGCUGUGCGAUCCCCAGCCUGUCAAGAGGAAAUUGAGAUUCAGAACGUGCACAUCAGUUCUUCAGGACUGUCCAGCUGCAGGACAGACGCAGGUUUCGUGGAGCCUGAAACUUACACAGUCUGAGGAUGCCCGCUCUAAGGAAAAGAAUACAAAACCCCAAAUAUAAAUUUAGGCAUGUAAGUGAAUAUUUGUUUAGAAUAAGGAAAGAAAUUGCAAUGUUACAAAUGUA